AGAUAUGGAAUAAAUUUAAUAAUAGGAAUAUUUUUAUCUUUUCUUAGUGGCUAUUAUGGAAGCCUUCUGUUGGGGGUUACCAAAUUUACAACAGUAAAAAAAAAAAAAAAAAAAAAAAAAAAAAAAAAAAAACAUAUACACAUACACAUACAUAGUUGUUUCAUUUUUAUUCAUCCAUUUGAUCACACAUUAACCUCUUCAUUUAUUUUUUUUUUUGUUUUUUUUUAUGUUUCAAAUUUAGCGUCUAAUAUGCGGCAUAAUAUUUUCUUACAUCACAUUAAUCUUAGAAGUAAUAAUUUUUAUUAUUAUUAGUGAAAAAUUAGACACACAAUCAAAAAAAAAACAAAAUAAUGAAAAAAAUUAUGAGUUAUAUGAAAGGGUAUAUUCUAAAAAGCUGUUAUAUAGCAAACUAAAAAUCGAAGAACCAAAAGAGGAAGAACCAACAACGGAAGAAUUAAAAAAACAAACAAACGAAGAAACAACAAUUACACAAAGAAAGCAAUUAACUGUAAAAAAUUAAGUGAAAUAUAUAUAUCGAUGGCUAAAUAAAUAUAUGAAUAAAAACAAUUCAAUUCAAGUUCAGGCGUUUUUUUGUUUAUACAGAUAUAUUUGUAUAUGGUCUUUAUAUUUAAUAGUACAUAUACAUAUUUCCACUAUGCACAUACAUAUACAUAUAUAUAUAUGUAUAUCUGUCCCAUUUUUUUAAACCUCUUUUAGUUUUUUCACUUGUUUCAUUUUNNNNNNNNNNUUUUUUUUUUUUUUUUUUUUAGAUAUGGAAUAAAUUUAAUAAUAGGAAUAUUUUUAUCUUUUCUUAGUGGCUAUUAUGGAAGCCUUCUGUUGGGGGUUACCAAAUUUACAACACGUCUAAUAUGCGGCAUAAUAUUUUCUUACAUCACAUUAAUCUUAGAAGUAAUAAUUUUUAUUAUUAUUAGUGAAAAAUUAGACACACAAUCAAAAAAAAAACAAAAUAAUGAAAAAAAUUAUGAGUUAUAUGAAAGGGUAUAUUCUAAAAAGCUGUUAUAUAGCAAACUAAAAAUCGAAGAACCAAAAGAGGAAGAACCAACAACGGAAGAAUUAAAAAAACAAACAAACGAAGAAACAACAAUUACACAAAGAAAGCAAUUAACUGUAAAAAAUUAAGUGAAAUAUAUAUAUCGAUGGCUAAAUAAAUAUAUGAAUAAAAACA
rnacentral:lncRNA from 1 species